rnacentral:rRNA from 1 species
AGUGAACGCUGGCGGUAGGCCUAACACAUGCAAGUCGAACGGCAGCACAGUAAGAGCUUGCUCUUACGGGUGGCGAGUGGCGGACGGGUGAGGAAUACAUCGGAAUCUACUUUUUCGUGGGGGAUAACGUAGGGAAACUUACGCUAAUACCGCAUACGACCUACGGGUGAAAGCAGGGGAUCUUCGGACCUUGCGCGAUUGAAUGAGCCGAUGUCGGAUUAGCUAGUUGGCGGGGUAAAGGCCCACCAAGGCGACGAUCCGUAGCUGGUCUGAGAGGAUGAUCAGCCACACUGGAACUGAGACACGGUCCAGACUCCUACGGGAGGCAGCAGUGGUGAAUAUUGGACAAUGGGCGCAAGCCUGAUCCAGCCAUACCGCGUGGAUGAAGAAGGCCUUCGGGUUGUAAAGCCCUUUUGUUGGGAAAGAAAAGCAGCAGGUUAAUACCCCGCUGUUCUGACGGUACCCAAAGAAUAAGCACCGGCUAACUUCGUG